rnacentral:rRNA from 1 species
GACGAACGCUGGCGGCGUGCCUAAUACAUGCAAGUUGAGCGCUGAAGGUUGGUACUUGUACCAACUGGAUGAGCAGCGAACGGGUGAGUAACGCGUGGGGAAUCUGCCUUUGAGCGGGGGACAACAUUUGGAAACGAAUGCUAAUACCGCAUAAAAACUUUAAACACAAGUUUUAAGUUUGAAAGAUGCAAUUGCAUCACUCAAAGAUGAUCCCGCGUUGUAUUAGCUAGUUGGUGAGGUAAAGGCUCACCGAGGCGAUGAUACAUAGCCGACCUGAGAGGGUGAUCGGCCACAUUGGGACUGAGACACGGCCCAAACUCCUACGGGAGGCAGCAGUAGGGAAUCUUCGGCAAUGGACGAAAGUCUGACCGAGCAACGCCGCGUGAGUGAAGAAGGGUUUCGGAUCGUAAAACUCUGUUGGUAGAGAAGAACGUUGGUGAGAGUGGAAAGCUCAUCAAGUGACGGUAACUACCCAGAAAGGGACGGCUAACUACGUG